GACGAACGCUGGCGGCGUGCUUAACACAUGCAAGUCGAACGGAAAGGCCCUUCUUUUUUGGGGUUCUCGGGUGGCGAACGGGUGAGUAAAACGUGAGUAACCUGCCCUUGACUUUUGGAUAACUUCAGGAAACUUGGGCUAAUACCGGAUAGGAGCUCCUGCUGCAUGGUGGGGGUUGGAAAGUUUCGGCGGUUGGGGAUGGACUCGCGGCUUAUCAGCUUGUUGGUGGGGUAGUGGCUUACCAAGGCUUUGACGGGUAGCCGGCCUGAGAGGGUGACCGGCCACAUUGGGACUGAGAUACGGCCCAGACUCCUACGGGAGGCAGCAGUGGGGAAUAUUGCACAAUGGGCGGAAGCCUGAUGCAGCAACGCCGCGUGCGGGAUGACGGCCUUCGGGUUGUAAACCGCUUUCGCCUGUGACGAAGCGUGAGUGACGGUAAUGGGUAAAGAAGCACCGGCUAACUACGUG
rnacentral:rRNA from 1 species